rnacentral:rRNA from 1 species
CGGAUCGCAGGCUGCAACCCGCCUGCGUGAAGUUGGAAUCGCUAGUAAUCGCGGAUCAGCAUGCCGCGGUGAAUACGUUCCCGGGCCUUGUACACACCGCCCGUCACACCAUGAGAGUCGGGAACACCCGAAGUCCGUAGCCUAACCGCAAGGGGGCGCGGCGAAGGUGGGUUCGAUAAUUGGGGUGAAGUCGUAACAAGGUACC